UACGUAGGGCGCGAGCGUUGUCCGGAAUUAUUGGGCGUAAAGAGCUCGUAGGUGGCUUGUUGCGUCUGCCGUGAAAGCCCGUGGCUUAACUACGGGUCUGCGGUGGAUACGGGCAGGCUAGAGGCUGGUAGGGGCAAGCGGAAUUCCUGGUGUAGCGGUGAAAUGCGCAGAUAUCGGGAAGAACACCCGUGGCGAAGGCGGCUCUCUGGGACGGUACUGACGCUGAGACGCGAAAGCGUGGGGAGCGAACAGG
rnacentral:rRNA from 1 species